UACGGAGGGAGCAAGCGUUACUCGGAAUUAUUGGGCGUAAAGGGCGCGUAGGCGAUCUGAAAAGUUCUGUGUGAAAGCCCACAUGUUAACUGUGGAAGUGCACAGAAAACUGUUGGAUUUGAGUUCAGGAGAGGAAGGCAGAAUUCCCGGUGUAGCGGUGAAAUGCGUAGAGAUCGGGAGGAAUACCAGUGGCGAAGGCGGCCUUCUGGACUGACACUGACGCUGAGGCGCGAAAGCGUGGGGAGCGAACAGG
rnacentral:rRNA from 1 species